rnacentral:rRNA from 1 species
GCAUAUUUUAGAGCCAAUAAUCACAAUUAAAAAUUUAUAAAAAUUACUAUCAAAUCCAAUUUACUAUCAAUAUUAAAAUUAAUAACCCAGAAAUAAAUUUAUUGUAACCCAUCUCUUCUUUUAUAUAAACUGCACCUUGAUCUGACAUUAACUAUUAAAUUAAAAAUUGACCAUUAAAAUUCUAAUAAAAUGUUCAAUAACGACGAUAUACAAACUAAAAAUAAAAGUAAAGUAAAUCGUGGACUAUCGAUUAUAGGACAGGUUCCUCUGAAUGGACUAAAAUACCGCCAAAAUCUUUAAUUUUCAAGAAAAUAAACUAUUAAUAAUCAGGUAAUAUUUAUUACAAUUAAA